GGGUCAGUAGGUUGGUCGUGCCACCGGUACGUACUGGUCUCACUGAUUCCUCCUUCCUGAAGAACCGUAACGCCAUUAAUUUGGUGUUGCGGGGAAACAGGACUGUUACUUUGAAAAAAUUAGAGUGUUUAAAGCAAGCUAACGCUUGAAUACAUUAGCAUGGAAUAAUGAAAUAGGACGAUCGAUCCUAUUUUGUUGGUUUCUAGGAUUGACGUA
rnacentral:rRNA from 1 species